AACGAACGCUGGCGGCAUGCCUAACACAUGCAAGUCGAACGAACCCUUCGGGGUUAGUGGCGCACGGGUGCGUAACGCGUGGGAAUCUGCCCUUUGCUUCGGAAUAACAGUUAGAAAUGACUGCUAAUACCGGAUGAUGUCUUCGGACCAAAGAUUUAUCGGCAAGGGAUGAGCCCGCGUAGGAUUAGGUAGUUGGUGGGGUAAAGGCCUACCAAGCCGACGAUCCUUAGCUGGUCUGAGAGGAUGAUCAGCCACACUGGGACUGAGACACGGCCCAGACUCCUACGGGAGGCAGCAGUGGGGAAUAUUGGACAAUGGGCGCAAGCCUGAUCCAGCAAUGCCGCGUGAGUGAUGAAGGCCUUCGGGUCGUAAAGCUCUUUUACCAGGGAUGAUAAUGACAGUACCUGGAGAAUAAGCUCCGGCUAACUCCGUGCCAGCCGCCGCAGUAAAAC
rnacentral:rRNA from 1 species